GACGAACCGUGCAAACGUUGUUCGGAAUCACUGGGCUUAAAGGGCGCGUAGGCGGGCGGGCAAGUCAGGGGUGAAAUCCCACGGCUCAACCGUGGAAGUGCCUUUGAUACUGCUCGUCUGGAGGGAGGUAGGGGCGUGCGGAACUUCCGGUGGAGCGGUGAAAUGCGCAGAUAUCAGGAGGAACACCGGUGGCGAAGGCGGGUCUCUGGGCCGAUACUGACGCUGAGGAGCGAAAGCGUGGGGAGCGAACAGG
rnacentral:rRNA from 1 species